rnacentral:rRNA from 1 species
AAUAGAUACCCAGGUAGUCCAUGCCGUAAACGUUGGGCACUAGGUGUGGGGCUCAUUCCACGAGUUCCGUGCCGCAGCAAACGCAUUAAGUGCCCCGCCUGGGGAGUACGGCCGCAAGGCUAAAACUCAAAGGAAUUGACGGGGGCCCGCACAAGCGGCGGAGCAUGCGGAUUAAUUCGAUGCAACGCGAAGAACCUUACCAAGGCUUGACAUGCACGGGAAGCCACCAGAGAUGGUGGUCUCUUUGGACACUCGUGCACAGGUGGUGCAUGGUUGUCGUCAGCUCGUGUCGUGAGAUGUUGGGUUAAGUCCCGCAACGAGCGCAACCCUCGUCCCAUGUUGCCAGCGGGUUAUGCCGGGGACUCAUGGGAGACUGCCGGGGUCAACUCGGAGGAAGGUGGGGAUGACGUCAAAUCAUCAUGCCCCUUAUGUCUUGGGCUUCACGCAUGCUACAAUGGUCGGUACAGAGGGCUGCGAUACCGUGAGGUGGAGCGAAUCCCUUAAAGCCGGUCUCAGUUCGG